rnacentral:rRNA from 1 species
GAUGAACGCUGGCGGCGUGCUUAAUACAUGCAAGUCGAGCGAACAGACGAGGAGCUUGUUCCUUUGACGUUAGCGGCGGACGGGUGUGUAACACGUAUGUAACCUACCUAUAAGACUGGGAUACUCCGGGAAAUCGGAGCUAAUACCGGAUAAUAUUUCGAACCCCUUGGUUCGAUAGUGAAAGAUGGCUUUGCUAUCACUUACAGAUGGAUCUGCGCCGUAUUUGUUAGGUGGUACGGUAACGGCUUAUCAAGGCUACGCUACGUAGCCGACUUGAGCGGGUGAUCGGCCACACUGGAGCGGAGACGCGUUCCAGUCUCCUACGACACGCACCAGUAGGGAACCUUCCGCAAUAGGCGAGAGUCUGGCGCAGUAACGCGGCGCAAUGGAUGAAGGUCUUCGGAUCGUAAAACUCUGUUAUUAGGGAAGAACAGACGUGUAAGGAACUGAGCACGUCUUGACGGUAACUGAUCAGAAAGCAACGGCUAACUACGUG